CAAUAUUACAGCAACUUUCACGUUAUAUAUAAAAUAUGAUGUUGAAAUAUAUCACUGUUAUAUAGAGAAAAGUAACUGUAUCGACUGGGUACAGAAUAACAAUACACGUUCGCCUUUGUUCUUAACUGAUAAUCGCACGAUGAUAAGCGUAUUUAUCAAUUGUUUUGUAUGGCAAUUGACGCGAUUCAACUUCCUGCGUAUCAAUCCGAAGACAAAUGCAGGAGUCAAGACAAUAUGCUUAUACUUUUCAUAGAACUCCAAUUAGAAGUACGGAUUUUUAUUUAUAAGGUGACGUCGGUACACGUAACUUUUUCGCGAAAGGAGAUUGCCCCUUGCGUACGGAAAGCAAGCAGUAAUCGUUGUAAGGAGCGGAAUGCUUUCUUACGUGACGCCGUCUAAUUGGAAGUGAAUUUUAUUUGCAGUAGCACGCGCGCGCACACACACAUACAAACACACACACACACACACACACACACACACACACACACACACACACACACACACACACAGAGUCAGCGGUAUCGUUAUUACGCUGCAGUUAAACGAGACAAAAACUGUACGUGAAGACUUACUGCUUAAGGGGGAAAAUAGUGGAACGCUUAAAACUUUCGAGCUCGCCGCGCGAAAUCGACCAAUUAGAAAUCUCUCGCGCGGUCGAGCCGAAAAGAAUUAUAUUCGGGCCGAGAUUUUGCGAAAUUUUCUAGCCAUUAAUGGCGUUAGGUAAAAAACGAGAUUUCAAUAGUACGGCACACAAUGCGCGUUAGAAGCGGACGAAAAUCCCCGUGUGUUCCGCGAUUCGCGAUGUCCAAGUUGUCUUUUUCAUCUCUGUGGAGUCCGCCGCGCGUGAGAGGAGGAGAUUCCUGUUCACUCUCUCUGCCUCACGCGGCUACGUCUAAUCUGCGAGAAAGUCGAAGGCGCACUUUAGAAUUCGUCGAGAUCGUACGUCUACACCCGAGAGAAAAGUAUAUGAUUGCAUAGAUUAUAUUUCUUCACCGUGAUAUACAUAUACAUACGAACACACGAACAGGAAGUACCUGCGUGUUUGCGUAACGUGAUUCCGAAAUGUCCUACCUUUUCUAUAUAUCUAGUAUUCAUUUUAUUGACGUUAUAUAUAUAUAUCUUAUUAUCCAAUCAGCACGCAACAUCUAAAAGACGUAGAUUCUUUAAGAUCUUGUAUUGAUACGUAUGAUAAUUUUGCGACUUACAAUAAAAUUGAUAAUGUUAGAUAGAUAGACGAAAAUAAUGAUUUAUUAAAUAGUGAAAAUAAUGAUAAUGACGAUUGCUUUUAUGGAAGAAAUAGGAAAGUUUCCAUAAUGGCUGCUUCCGCAAUCACUAUCCUGCCACGGAACGCGGAAUGUAGACAACCUCGAGAAACGAAAACCUUGUUUUUAUAUUUAUAUUUGCAUUAAUAAAAGGGUAAUCGCGUCGCUUAUAUAAUGGAUAAUAUAUGUUCAUCAUCAGGUGAAGUAUUAAAAAUUAAAACAAAUGAUAUCGCGUAAUAUAAUGCACUUUAAUAGAUUUAUCAAUACUUGAUCGUCGAAUUCAGAAAUUUAAACUCGUAAGUUUAUCGUUAAAUACAAAUAAAUACGCAUUAAUUAAGGAAAAAAAAUUUUUAUAUAUAAUUUGCAUAUGUAUUUAAAGUUUCCGAGUCGAGAGGUCUAAAGAUUAAUUUGUAACAUUAUAUCUUUAAUUGGUCGGUCAUUAUUCUUAUUAUAUGUAUCGAAUUCAGCAGUUGAUAAUUGAAUCGAAUAAACGGGACAGCACGUAUUUCAAUAUGUUAUAUACCGCGUAUAUAUUAUUCAGUAGGUCAAGCUAAUGAACUGUAAUACGUCAGUUAUUAAACCAUUCCUCGACGGUAGAAACGUACAACUAUCAUCCCUUCUCCCGAUUUGCAGGACAAAGUCCCACUACUAUUGCGAAGACCGUGUCGAAAGUAAGUUGACAUUGAGGCCAUCGAGCGAUGGUCAUGGUGCACCGGUGCUAACUUUGGCGCAAGACAUUUCAUUUUAUCAGUACCACUAGAAUGUAAUUUAAAUCUCGCACGAGUCUCUGGCGAAAAGACGCGGAUUCUUUCAAUGAAGAUCGGGAAUCACGCGUCUCUUACUGAUCGCAUAAAAAGAAGCUCAAUUUAUUAACGAGACAAAAAGAUGCAGUUGUCUUAUAGUCAAUGAAAAAUGAGAAUUUUAAGGGUCACUUAAAACACAUCGAGGACGAGCAAUAACAGACGUACCUCGUGUGGAGCGGCGAUCGACAGUUUUGCGGACAGUCGAGGAGACGGAGAGUCAUUGACGUGUCCCUCGUGGUCGGGGGCCUACCGACGCAUCGGCGCACUCUUCGUGUGCGAGUUUCCGCCGCACGUUGUAUAAGUCGGGCCGCAAUAACGCGUUUCGAUCGACCGCACCGAGCGCGCCGAGCGGAGCACUGGCAGUGAGCGAGCGAGCGCGUCGCGAUUGCGAAGCGGUUACGGCGGCAGCGGCGGUGGCGGUGGCGACGGCUAGUCAGGGUCGCUCUCAAGUACCAGUAUGUACACGCGGCCCGCGUGCGGUGUACAUGCACGGGAGAUCAGCAACAGUCCCCCCGUACUCGGGGUACAAAGGGGGGACGUAUGGUACUUUCACUGCUCGGACGAUGGCGAGCAACCGUUCUCCGCUUCUCCGCGGAUUCGGAACUGCCGGGUGGCCUUCGACGCCCGGACAUCUCUCUCGCAAUAUCUCGAGGACGCGAGAUGUACAAUAAUUAUGAGCUUUUCGAGGUGGCUCAGUUUCGUCGCUAUAGAGCACUAAAAUCUCGUAGGGUAAAAAAAUCGAACUUGUGCGAUUAUCUUGAACGAUUUGCCACUUUGUCUGUUAUUUUAUAAGAGACAGGCCAAGUUCUCACGCUUUUAAAAAGUGACGUUUUGUUUUAGGAAAUUUACAGAGUACAUAAUCUAUCGUUUGAUUUAUGUAAUUUUAUGCAAUCGUUUCCACGUCAAAUUACUUCUGCGAAUAAGGAAUAAAUUUUGUGAAUUUAAUAAAUGGUUAGUUACGUGGUCACUUCUACGUUCUUAUAUAAGGUCAUCUCGAUUUACUUAAAUAUACUUUCUAAAUCUUGUGUAGAGUGAAAAUUAAGUUUAGAAUUUUCAGGGUGAUUUGCCAUUCUAGCAAGAGUCAAAAUUCAGUUCCAUUAGAGCGAAAAUUAAACUCGUGCAAUUUUUCACUCUACAAGAUUUAGAGAGUGGUAGUUUUGAAUAUCUUUGAUCACCGUCACUUUUCAGAGCGCGAAAAAAUUUUUACGUCAAAAUCGAUACGAAAUCGCGUACAAUAAAAAUUUCAAGAGUACACAAGUCGAUUUCGUGUUACUUUCACGUAGGUCACAUCGCUGACAUUGAACAUUGGGAAAGACACGUGGGAUAGGAACACUUUCAAAUCGAGAGAUUGACAAUGAUACGAUAGUGUUUUUACAUCAUGGCACGAAUCUUCGAUUAAUUUUUGCUCGUACGGUAGGAAAUACGAUAAUAUAACGCGAGACGUGACAUUAUAUAUCUCGUGAUACAAUCUGCUUAUCAUUCGCACGCUCAGAUUUCUGGCCGCGCGCGAGGAGAAGAAAAGAGAGAUUCGCUUUACCUUAUCAUCAUGUGGACUUUAUUAUAUAAAGGGCUAAUGCUAAAAUGUACACAAGAUAAGUUAUUAAAAAUGUUCAUUAUUGCGGUAGUAAUAAUUAAUUAUACACAUGAAUAGUCAUCUUCUACUAGAGAGUGAACGAUGAUCAAUUGUUUUUUUUUUCUUUUCGAGGGCUAUAACUUUUAAAUACCAGAGUCGACGCGUUUACUCGUAAUUAAAUUACAGCAGAUACACGGUCGUGUGAGACAAGGUCGGCGUAAACAGCGGGCCGCCGCAUUACAUACUAAUCGAUUUGUCUUCUCUAGGUUCCUUUAGCCGCCCCAUCAGCUCUUGCCGUAUUUCAAGCACCGAUUACAUCGAGACGUUUUUCGCUCAAACGCGCGCUUCACACUCGGUUCGCAAGACAGAAUCGUUUUUACUUAUGGACUAAUUAAGUAAUCGUAUUUUCCUUUUUAAAUGACGUAUCAGAUUUUAUUUAUCUAUAAUUAGAAGCCAAAACACACUGCUAGCACCAUCAAACAGUGCAAUUAUGUAGAGUUUCAUAUAGUCUUAAACGAACUAUUUCACGUUGAAUGACAUUUCGCAAUUUAACGACACAUUUUGUUCAUUUUGUAAUAUAAUAUCUAGAUUUUUAAGAAAUAAUAUGUAAUCACAUCGUCUUACCCUUACAGCCACAAUAUAUCGGGUAUACAAUAUUGUAAUCGCAACGUUUAAAUAACAGAUUUAAGUCUAUCGUUCGUCCAGUAGUGGACAGUACGGUCGCGCGUAGCAACUACGCGCGUUUAUAUUGUGGAUGAAAGGAAAAACACCUGGUUUUAUUAAAUAAUAAAAAAAGCUGCUUAAAGAAA